rnacentral:rRNA from 1 species
GACGAACCGUGCGAACGUUAUUCGGAAUCACUGGGCUUAAAGCGCGUGUAGGCGGGCCGGAACGUCGGUCGCUGAAAUCCCCCGCUCAACCGGGGAAGGGGCGCCGAUACGACCGGCCUGGAGGAACGUAGGGGGGAGCUGGAACUUCCGGUGGAGCGGUGAAAUGCGUUGAGAUCGGAAAGGAACGCCCGUGGCGAAAGCGAGCUCCUGGACGUUUUUUCUGACGCUGAGGACGCGAAAAGCCAGGGGGAGCGAACGGG